CUACGGGGGGCAGCAGUGAGGAAUAUUGCACAAUGGGGGGAACCCUGAUGCAGCAACGCCGCGUGGAGGAUGACGCAUUUCGGUGUGUAAACUCCUUUUAUAUGUCAAGAAAAUGACGGUAGCAUAUGAAUAAGCACCGGCUAACUCCGUGCCAGCAGCCGCGGUAAUACGGAGGGUGCAAGCGUUACUCGGAAUCACUGGGCGUAAAGGACGCGUAGGCGGGUUGGAAAGUCAGGUGUGAAAUCCUACAGCUUAACUGUAGAACUGCACUUGAAACUUCUAAUCUAGAGUAUGGGAGGGGAGAUGGAAUUAGUGGUGUAGGGGUAGAAUCCGUAGAUAUCACUAGGAAUACCUAAAGCGAAGGCGAUCUCCUGGAACAUUACUGACGCUAAGGCGUGAAAGCGUGGGGAGCAAACAGGAUUAGAUACCCGUGUAGUC
rnacentral:rRNA from 1 species